AGAGACAGCACAGCCGCGGGAAUACAGAGGGUGCGAGCGUUAAUCGGAUUUACUGGGCGUAAAGCGUGCGUAGGCGGCUUCUUAAGUCGGAUGUGAAAUCCCUGAGCUUAACUUAGGAAUUGCAUUCGAUACUGGGAAGCUAGAGUAUGGGAGAGGAUGGUAGAAUUCCAGGUGUAGCGGUGAAAUGCGUAGAGAUCUGGAGGAAUACCGAUGGCGAAGGCAGCCAUCUGGCCUAAUACUGACGCUGAGGUACGAAAGCAUGGGGAGCAAACAGGAUUAGAUACCUCGGUAGUCCCUGUCUCUUAUACA
rnacentral:rRNA from 1 species